rnacentral:rRNA from 1 species
AUUGAACGCUGGCGGCAGGCCUAACACAUGCAAGUCGAACGGUAACAGGCAGCAGCUUGCUGCUUCGCUGACGAGUGGCGGACGGGUGAGUAAUGUCUGGGAAACUGCCUGAUGGAGGGGGAUAACUACUGGAAACGGUAGCUAAUACCGCAUAACGUCGCAAGACCAAAGAGGGGGACCUUGGGGCCUCUGGCCGUGGGAUGUGCCCAGAUGGGAUUAGCUAGUGGGUGGGGUAACGGCUCACCUAGGCGACGAUCCCUAGCUGGUCUGAGAGGAUGACCAGCCACACUGGAACUGAGACACGGUCCAGACUCCUACGGGAGGCAGCAGUGGGGAAUAUUGCACAAUGGGCGCAAGCCUGAUGCAGCCAUGCCGCGUGUAUGAAGAAGGCCUUCGGGUUGUAAAGUACUUUCAGCGGGGAGGAAGGGAGUAAAGUUAAUACCUUUGCUCAUUGACGUUACCCGCAGAAGAAGCACCGGCUAACUCCGUG